rnacentral:tRNA from 1 species
UGUAGCUCAGUGGUAGAGUACUAGCCUAGCAUGUGGAAGACCCUGGGUUCAAUUCCCAGCA